rnacentral:rRNA from 1 species
GAUUAAGCCAUGCAUGUGUAAGUAUAAAUAUUUAACUUUGAAACUGCGAAUGGCUCAUUAUAUCAGUUAUAGUUUAUUUGAUGAAAAGUACUACUUGGAUAACCGUAGUAAUUCUAGAGCUAAUACAUGAUAAAAUCCUCGACUUUGAAGAGGUGUAUUUAUUAGAAUGAAACCAAUAGACUUCGGUCUGUUUGUGAGUAAUAAUAACUAAUCGUAUCGCAUGCUUAGGUAGCGAUAUGUCUUUCAAGUUUCUGCCCUACCAGCUUUGGAUGGUAGUGUAUUGGACUACCAUG